GUUAGCGGCGGACGGGUGAGUAACACGUGGGUAACCUGCCUGUAAGACUGGGAUAACUCCGGGAAACCGGAGCUAAUACCGGAUAGUUCCUUGAACCGCAUGGUUCAAGGAUGAAAGACGGUUUCGGCUGUCACUUACAGAUGGACCCGCGGCGCAUUAGCUAGUUGGUGAGGUAACGGCUCACCAAGGCGACGAUGCGUAGCCGACCUGAGAGGGUGAUCGGCCACACUGGGACUGAGACACGGCCCAGACUCCUACGGGAGGCAGCAGUAGGGAAUCUUCCGCAAUGGACGAAAGUCUGACGGAGCAACGCCGCGUGAGUGAUGAAGGUUUUCGGAUCGUAAAGCUCUGUUGUUAGGGAAGAACAAGUGCAAGAGUAACUGCUUGCCCUUGACGGUACCUAACCAGAAAGCCACGGCUAACUACGUGCCAGCAGCCGCGGUAAUACGUAGGUGGCAAGCGUUGUCCGGAAUUAUUGGGCGUAAAGGGCUCGCAGGCGGUUUCUUAAGUCUGAUGUGAAAGCCCCCGGCUCAACCGGGGAGGGUCAUUGGAAACUGGGAAACUUGAGUGCAGAAGAGGAGAGUGGAAUUCCACGUGUAGC
rnacentral:rRNA from 1 species